GAGUACGCACGCAAGUGUGAAACUUAAAGGAAUUGACGGGGACCCGCACAAGCGGUGGAGUAUGUGGUUUAAUUUGAUGCAACGCGAAGAACCUUACCAAGGCUUGACAUCCUGCGAAUCUUGGAGAAAUCCGAGAGUGCCUAAGGGAACGCAGAGACAGGUGGUGCAUGGCUGUCGUCAGCUCGUGUCGUGAGAUGUUGGGUUAAGUCCCGCAACGAGCGCAACCCUCGUCCUUAGUUGCCAGCAUUAAGUUGGGGACUCUAGGGAGACCGCCGGGGAGAACUCGGAGGAAGGUGGGGAUGACGUCAAGUCAGCAUGCCCCUUACGUCUUGGGCUACACACGUACUACAAUGGUUGGGACAAAGGGAAGCGAAACUGCGAAGUGGAGCGA
rnacentral:rRNA from 1 species